AUUGAACGCUAGCGGGAUGCUUUACACAUGCAAGUCGAACGAGUGGCGGACGGGUGAGUUAUAUAUCUGCCCGUGCCCAGUAGCGGGGGAUAACUACUCGAAAGUGUGGCUACUUCCGCCUUCUUUUGGCGCGGCCGAUUUCGGAUUAGCUAGUUGGUGGGGUAAAGGCUCACCAAGGCCACGAUCCGUACCUGGUUUGAGAGGAGGACCAGCCAAACUGGGACUGAGACACGGCCCAGACUCCUACGGGAGGCAGCAGUGGGGAAUUUGGGACAAUGGGGGAAAGCCUGAUCCAGCCAUCCCGCGUGUAUGAGAAGGCCUUCGGGUUGUAAAGUACUUUUGGCAGAGAAGCGGUAUCUGCAGAAUAAGCACCGGCUAACUACGUGCCAGCAGCCGCGGUAAUUC
rnacentral:rRNA from 1 species